rnacentral:lncRNA from 1 species
GUAAUUCUAAAAGGGACUACAAGAUGAAAAACAAUAGUUUUGCCAGUUAAAGUUUGAGAUUCGAUGGUGCCGUAGAUCCGUUUGGUCAUCAGGUGUUACGAGCCACACCCAUGUCUAGCUAGAAUAGUGUGUCAGGCUCAGGCUAGAGAAGAAACAGGGUACAAACUGAUGAAAGAAUUAUCAUACCGAGGGAAUUCACUCAGAACUAACAAGAAUGAUAACGUGCUCCGACUGGAGCGGUUUAGGAACUGCUGGAAACCUCUAGGGGAAUAAAGAUGGAAUGACUUCUAAUUUUUAGGUCCGUAUGGUUUGAAAUACUUGCACACAAACCGCCCGAAAGCAUUCCUAGAAAUCUCGGCCCAAAAAAUGACGUUUAGUAAUUCUAAAUGGGAAUACAAGAUGAAAAACAAUAGUUUUGGCAGUUAAAGUUUGAGAUUCGAUGGUGUCGUAGAUCCAUUUGGUCAUCAGGUGUUACGAGCCACACCCAUGUCUAGCUAGAAUAGUGUGUCAGGCUCAGGCUAGAGAAGAAACGGGGAACAAACUGAUGAAAGAAUUAUCAUAACGAGGGAAUUCACUCAGAACUAACAAGAAUGAUAACGUGCUCCGACUGGAGCGGUUUAGGAACUUCUGGAAGCCUCUAGGGGAAUAAAGAUGGAAUGACUUCUAAUUUUUAGGUCCGUACGAUUUGAAAUACUUGCACACAAACCCCAAGAAAGCGUUUCUGGAAAUCUCGGCCCAAAAAAGGACGUUUAGUAAUUCUAAAAGGGACUACAGGAUGAAAAACAAUAGUUUUGCCAGUUAAAGUUUGAGAUUCGAUGGUGCCGUAGAUCCGUUUGGUCAUCAGGUGUUACGAGCCACACCCAUGUCUAGCUAGAAUAGUGUGUCAGGCUCAGGCUAGAGAAGAAACAGGGUACAAACUGAUGAAAGAAUUAUCAUACCGAGGGAAUUCACUCAGAACUAACAAGAAUGAUAACGUGCUCCGACUGGAGCAGUUUAGGAACGGCUUGAAGGCUCUAGGGGAAUAAAGAUGGAAUGACUUCUAAUUUUUAGGUCCGUAUGAUUUGAAAUACUUGCACACAAACCCCGAGAAAGCGUUCCUGGAAAUCUCGGCCCAAAAAGGACGUUUAGUAAUUCUAAAAGGGACUACAAGAUGAAAAACAAUAGUUUUGGCAGUUAAAGUUUGAGAAUCGAUGGUGCCGUAGAUCCGUUUGGUCAUCAGGUGUUACGAGCACACCCAUGUCUAGCUUGAAUAGUGUGUCAGGCUCAGUCUAGAGAAGAAACGGGGAACAAACUGAUGAAAGAAUUAUCAUACCGAGGGAAUUCACUCAGAAUUAACAAGAAUGAUAACGUGCUCCGACUUGAGCGGUUUAGGAACAGCUGGAAGGCUCUAGGGGAAUAAAGAUGGAAUGACUUCUAAUUUUUAGGUCCGUAUGAUCUGAAAUACUUGCACAAAAACCUCGAGAAAGCGUUCCUGGAAAUCUUGGCCCAAAAAAGGACGUUUAGUAAUUCUAAAAGGGACUACAAGAUGAAAAAUAAUAGUUUUGCCAGUUAAAGUUUGAGAUUCGAUGGUGUCGUAGAUCCGUUUGGUCAUCAGGUGUUACGAGCCACACCCAUGUCUAGCUAGAAUAGUGUGUCAGGCUCAGGCUGGAGAAGAAACAGGGUACAAACUGAUGAAAGAAUUAUCAUACUGAGGGAAUUCACUCAGAACUAACAAGAAUGAUAACGUGCUCCGACUGGAGCGGUUUAGGAACUGCUGGAAAGGUCUAGGGGAAUAAAGAUGGAAUGACUUCUAAUUUUUAGGUCCGUAUGGUUUGAAAUACUUGCACACAAACCGCACGAAAGCAUUCCUAGAAAUCUCGGCCCAAAAAAUGACGUUUAGUAAUUCUAAAUGGGACUAUAGGAUGAAAAACAAUAGUUUUGGCAGUUAAAGUUUGAGAUUCGAUGGUGCCGUAGAUCCGUUUGGUCAUCAGGUGUUACGAGCCACACCCAUGUCUAGCUAGAAUAGUGUGUCAGGCUCAGGCUAGAGAAGAAACGGGGAACAAACUGAUGAAAGAAUUAUCAUAACGAGGGAAUUCACUCAGAACUAACAAGAAUGAUAACGUGCUCCGACUGGAGCGGUUUAGGAACUGCUGGAAGGCUCUAGGGGAAUAAAGAUGGAAUGACUUCUAAUU